UACGGAGGUGGCAAGCGUUGCUCGGAAUCACUGGGCGUAAAGGGCGCGUAGGCGGGGAGGUAAGUCGGGUGUGAAAUCCCUCGGCCCAACCGAGGAACUGCGCCCGAGACUGCUUCUCUUGAGUCCCGGAGAGGAAGAUGGAAUUCCCGGUGUAGCGGUGAAAUGUGUAGAGAUCGGGAGGAACACCGGUGGCGAAGGCGGUCUUCUGGACGGUGACUGACGCUGAGGCGCGAAGGUCAGGGGAGCAA
rnacentral:rRNA from 1 species